GUCCACGCCGUAAACGAUGAAUGCUAGCUGUUGGGGUGCUUGCACCUCAGUAGCGCAGCUAACGCUUUAAGCAUUCCGCCUGGGGAGUACGGUCGCAAGAUUAAAACUCAAAGGAAUUGACGGGGGCCCCGCACAAGCGGUGGAGCAUGUGGUUUAAUUCGAAGCAACGCGCAGAACCUUACCAUCCCUUGACAUGUCGUGCCAUCCGGAGAGAUCCGGGGUUCCCUUCGGGGACGCGAACACAGGUGCUGCAUGGCUGUCGU
rnacentral:rRNA from 1 species